rnacentral:rRNA from 1 species
UACGACUACAUAUCAGGCAUAUCAAUAAGCGGAGGAAAAGAAACUAACAAGGAUUCCCCUAGUAACGGCGGGUGAAGCGGGAAGAGCUCAAAUUUGAAAUCUUAAAGGGUUUCCCUUUACGAAUUGUAGUUUAAAGAAGUGUCUUCUGUUGGAGUUUCGGUAAAAGUUCUUUGGAAUAGGACAUCAUAGAGGGUGAGAAUCCCGUAUUUGACCGUUACUUUCCAGCUGUGUGAUACACUUUCAAAGAGUCGGAUUGUUUGGGAAUGCAGUCCAAGAUAGGGUGGUAAAUUUCAUCUAAAGCUAAAUAUCGGCGAGAGACCGAUAGCGAACAAGUACCGUGAGGGAAAGAUGAAAAGAACUUUGAAAAGAGAGUUAAACAGUACGUGAAAUUGUCAAAAGGGAAGCGUUUGACACCAGUGUUGUUUAGUUGAAAAUCAAUUCAAUAGUUUUUGAUUCUAAGUAGUAUUGACUUCAUCAGCUUGCUGCUUUCUUCUCAGAAAUUAUUGAAUGCACUUUUCAGUUAACAAGUCAACAUCAAUUUCUUUUGUUGUAAAAGGGUAAGAGGAAGGUGGCUUGCGCUUCGGCUCAAGUGUUUAUAGCCUUUUAUCUCUGCAAUCGGAGAGAUUGAGGUCUGCAGCGUAGAUCCUUCGGGGUUAGAUACAUUGGUGCUAAGCUAUAGCCUUGUAUAGACAACUUGUUGACUAUGCUCAGUCAUGUAGCUUACUCGCUGAUGCUAUUUUACCUACGCUUAGGAUGUUGAUCUACAGAGCGAGAGU